GAUGAAGAACGCAGCGAAAUGCGAUAAGUAAUGCGAAUUGCAGAAUUCCGUGAGUCAUCGAAUCUUUGAACGCACAUUGCGCCCUCUGGUAUUCCGGGGGGCAUGCCUGUUCGAGCGUCAUUAUAACCACUCAAGCUCUCGCUUGGUAUUGGAGUUCGCGAUCUCGCGGCUCCUAAAAUCAGUGGCGGUGCCUGUCGGCUCUACGCGUAGUAAUACUCCUCGCGAUUGAGUCCGGUAGGUUUACUUGCCAGCAACCCCCAAUUUUUACAGGUUGACCUCGGAUCAGGUAGGGAUACCCGCUGAACUUAAGCAUAUCAAUAAGCGGAGGA
rnacentral:misc_RNA from 1 species